GCCUAGGAAUCUGCCUGGUAGUGGGGGACAACGUUUCGAAAGGAACGCUAAUACCGCAUACGUCCUACGGGAGAAAGCAGGGGACCUUCGGGCCUUGCGCUAUCAGAUGAGCCUAGGUCGGAUUAGCUAGUAGGUGAGGUAAUGGCUCACCUAGGCGACGAUCCGUAACUGGUCUGAGAGGAUGAUCAGUCACACUGGAACUGAGACACGGUCCAGACUCCUACGGGAGGCAGCAGUGGGGAAUAUUGGACAAUGGGCGAAAGCCUGAUCCAGCCAUGCCGCGUGUGUGAAGAAGGUCUUCGGAUUGUAAAGCACUUUAAGUUGGGAGGAAGGGCAGUAAGUUAAUACCUUGCUGUUUUGACGUUACCGACAGAAUAAGCACCGGCUAACUCUGUGCCAGCAGCCGCGGUAAUACAGAGGGUGCAAGCGUUAAUCGGAAUUACUGGGCGUAAAGCGCGCGUAGGUGGUUCGUUAAGUUGGAUGUGAAAGCCCCGGGCUCAACCUGGGAACUGCAUCCAAAACUGGCGAGCUAGAGUAUGGUAGAGGGUGGUGGAAUUUCCUGUGUAGCGGUGAAAUGCGUAGAUAUAGGAAGGAACACCAGUGGCGAAGGCGACCACCUGGACUGAUACUGAC
rnacentral:rRNA from 1 species